rnacentral:rRNA from 1 species
AAUCAACGCUGGCGGCGUGCCUCAGACAUGCAAGUCGAACGCGAAAGUCCCCUUCGGGGGAUGAUUAGAGUGGCGCACGGGUGAGUAACACGUAGGUAAUCUACCUUCGAGUGGGGAAUAACUCAGGGAAACUUGAGCUAAUACCGCAUAAUGCAGCGGCACCACAUGGUGACAGUUGUUAAAGCAUUUAUGCGCUUGAAGAGGAGCCUGCGGCAGAUAGCUAGUUGGUAAGGUAAUGGCUUACCAAGGCUACGAUCUGUAACCGGCCUGAGAGGGCGGACGGUCACACUGACACUGAAUAACGGGUCAGACUCCUACGGGAGGCAGCAGUCGGGAAUUUUGGGCAAU